rnacentral:rRNA from 1 species
CCUACGGGAGGCAGCAGUGAGGAAUAUUGGUCAAUGGGUGAGAGCCUGAACCAGCCAAGUCGCGUGAAGGAUGACGGCCCUACGGGUUGUAAACUUCUUUUGUCAGGGAGCAAUUGGGUCCACGCGUGGGCUUAGCGAGAGUACCUGAAGAAAAAGCAUCGGCUAACUCCGUGCCAGCAGCCGCGGUAAUACGGAGGAUGCGAGCGUUAUCCGAAUUUAUUGGGUUUAAAGGGUGCGUAGGCGGAAUAUCAAGUCAGCGGUAAAAAUUCGGGGCUCAACCCCGUCGUGCCGUUGAAACUGAUGGUCUUGAGUGGGCGAGAAGUAUGCGGAAUGCGUGGUGUAGCGGUGAAAUGCAUAGAUAUCACGCAGAACUCCGAUUGCGAAGGCAGCAUACCGGCGCCCAACUGACGCUGAAGCACGAAAGCGUGGGUAUCGAACAGGAUUAGAUACCCCUGUAGUC